rnacentral:tRNA from 1 species
UCUACUUUGGCAGAUAAGUGUAAUGGAUUUAGGAUCCAUAAAUGUAAAUAUAUUUUACAGGUAGAA